AAGCGGGGGAUAACACCUGGAAACAGAUGCUAAUACCGCAUAACAACUUGGACCGCAUGGUCCGAGCUUGAAAGAUGGCUUCGGCUAUCACUUUUGGAUGGUCCCGCGGCGUAUUAGCUAGAUGGUGGGGUAACGGCUCACCAUGGCAAUGAUACGUAGCCGACCUGAGAGGGUAAUCGGCCACAUUGGGACUGAGACACGGCCCAAACUCCUACGGGAGGCAGCAGUAGGGAAUCUUCCACAAUGGACGAAAGUCUGAUGGAGCAACGCCGCGUGAGUGAAGAAGGGUUUCGGCUCGUAAAACUCUGUUGUUAAAGAAGAACAUAUCUGAGAGUAACUGUUCAGGUAUUGACGGUAUUUAACCAGAAAGCCACGGCUAACUACGUGCCAGCAGCCGCGGUAAUACGUAGGUGGCAAGCGUUGUCCGGAUUUAUUGGG
rnacentral:rRNA from 1 species